rnacentral:rRNA from 1 species
GAUCAUGGCUCAGAAUGAACGCUGGCGGCAUGGAUUAGGCAUGCAAGUCGAACGUACUCCCUUCGGGGAGAAAGUGGCGAAAGGGUGAGUAACACGUGAGCAACCUGCCUCCGGAUCCGGAAUAAUCCAGGGAAACUUGGUCUAAAACCGGAUGAAGACAUUGGUCCGCAUGGUCUAAUGUUAAAAUAUUUAUAGUCCGGAGAGGGGCUCGCGGCCCAUUAGCUUGUUGGCGGGGUAAUGGCCCACCAAGGCUACGACGGGUAGGUGGUCUGAGAGGAUGGUCACCCACACUGGGACUGAGACACUGCCCAGACUCCUACGGGAGGCUGCAGUCGAGAAUCUUCCGCAAUGGGCGCAAAGCCUGACGGAGCGAUGCCGCGUGAGGGAUGAAGGCCUUCGGGUUGUAAACCUCUGUCAUCCGGGACGAAAACAAUGACGGUACCGGAAAAGGAAGCCACGGCUAACCACGUGCCAGCAGCCGC